AGAGUUUGAUCAUGGCUCAGAACGAACGCUGGCGGCAGGCUUAACACAUGCAAGUCGAGCGCCCCGCAAGGGGAGCGGCAGACGGGUGAGUAACGCGUGGGAACAUACCCUCCGGUUCGGAAUAGCUCAGGGAAACUUGGAUUAAUACCGGAUACGGCCUAGCGGCGAAAGAUUCAUCGCCGGAGGAUUGGCCCGCGUUCGAUUAGCUAGUUGGUGAGGUAAUGGCUCACCAAGGCGACGAUCGAUAGCUGGUCUGAGAGGAUGAUCAGCCACAUUGGGACUGAGACACGGCCCAAACUCCUACGGGAGGCAGCAGUGGGGAAUAUUGGACAAUGGGCGCAAGCCUGAUCCAGCCAUGCCGCGUGAGUGAUGACGGCCUUAGGGUUGUAAAGCUCUUUCGCUAGGGACGAUAAUGACGGUACCUAGACAAGAAGCCCCGGCUAACUUCGUGCCAGCAGCCGCGGUAAUACGAAGGGGGCUAGCGUUGUUCGGAAUUACUGGGCGUAAAGCGCGUGUAGGCGGGCGAAUAAGUCAGGGGUGAAAUGCCAAGGCUCAACCUUGGAACUGCCUUUGAUACUGUUCGUCUUGAGUCCGGGAGAGGUGAGUGGAACUGCGAGUGUAGAGGUGAAAUUCGUAGAUAUUCGCAAGAACACCAGUGGCGAAGGCGGCUCACUGGCCCGGAACUGACGCUGAGACGCGAAAGCGUGGGGAGCAAACAGGAUUAGAUACCCUGGUAGUCCACGCUGUAAACGAUGGAUGCUAGCCGUUGGGGAGCUUGCUCUUCAGUGGCGCAGCUAACGCUUUAAGCAUCCCGCCUGGGGAGUACGGUCGCA
rnacentral:rRNA from 1 species